CUACGGGUGGCUGCAGUUAGGAAUAUUUUGCAAUGCGCGCAAGCGUGACAAAUUGAGCCAGAGUGAUUUUCAUAUUGAAAAUCUUUUGUGGAAUGUAAAAAGUUUCACGAAUAAGGACUGGGUAAGACUAGUGCCAGCCGCCGCGGUAAUACUAGCGGUCCAAGUCGCAGCCAUUUUUAUUGGGUCUAAAACAUCCGUAGCUUGUUUGAUAAGUUUCUUGUGAAAUCUGAUAUCUCAAAUAUCAGGCGUGCAAGAAGUACUGUCAAGCUAGAGACUGGAAGACGUGAGAAGUACGUUUAAAGUAGCGGUAAAAUGUGUUAAUCUUAAACGGACUUACAAUAGCGAAGGCAUCUCACGAGGACAGUUCUGACAGUAAGGGAUGAAGGCUAGGGGCGCAAAACGGAUUAGAUACCCCUGUAGUC
rnacentral:rRNA from 1 species